rfam:Salmo salar isolate Sally breed double haploid chromosome ssa03, whole genome shotgun sequence.
GCUGCGAUGGCAGAGUGGUUAAGGCGUUGGACUUGAAAUCCAAUGGGGUCUCCCUGCGCAGGUUCGAACCCUGCUCGCAGCG